rnacentral:rRNA from 1 species
CAGCAGCCACGGUAAUACGUAGGUGGCAAGCGUUGUCCGGAAUUAUUGGGCGUAAAGCGCGCGCAGGCGGAUCAGUCAGUCUGUCUUAAAAGUUCGGGGCUUAACCCCGUGAGGGGAUGGAAACUGCUGAUCUAGAGUAUCGGAGAGGAAAGUGGAAUUCCUAGUGUAGCGGUGAAAUGCGUAGAUAUUAGGAAGAACACCAGUGGCGAAGGCGACUUUCUGGACGAAAACUGACGCUGAGGCGCGAAAGCCAGGGGAGCGAACGGGAUUAGAUACCCCGGUAGUCCCUGUCUCUUAUACA